rnacentral:rRNA from 1 species
GACGUAGGGUGCGAGCGUUGUCCGGAUUUAUUGGGCGUAAAGAGCUCGUAGGCGGCUCGUCGCGUCGACCGUGAAAACCCGCGGCUUAACUGCGGGCUUGCGGUUGAUACGGGCGGGCUAGAGUUCGGUAGGGGAGACUGGAAUUCCUGGUGUAGCGGUGAAAUGCGUAGAUAUCUGGAGGAACACCGGUGGCGAAGGCGGCAUCCUGGACCGGCAUUGACGCUGAGGCGCGAAAGCCAGGGGAGCAAACGGG